GUUCUGUAUUUACAGAAGAAAAUGAAGGAAAGGGACCUCAGUUGAGAAAAAGGAUAAAUGAGUCAUUUAUUACACGUGAGUUUAGAGGAAGAGGUUCUAUUUCAACUGUCAAAAGUAAAGACAAAUAAGUCAAUGGGACCUGAUGGAAUACACCCAAAGCUAUUAAAAGAGCUUAGUGGUGUACUAGCAAAACCAUUAACAGAUUUAUUUAACCAAUCAUUGUUAACAGGAGUAGUCCCAGAAGAUUGGAAGUUAGCGAAUGUUGUGCCCAUUUACAAGAAAGGUAAUAGGGAGGAGUCGGGCAACUAUAGGCCAGUAAGCCUUACUUCAGUAGUGGGGAAAGUGAUGGAAACCAUGUUAAAGGAUAGGAUUGAUGAACAUCUAAAAACACAUGGAUUUCAAGAUCAGAGACAACAUGGGUUUACUUCAGG